UACCUGGGGCUCGUCGGCCGCCGGCUGGGGCGGCGGCGGCGGCUCGGCCUCCUCCUCCUCCUGCUGCUCCUCCUCCUCCUCCUCUGCCUCCGCCGGCUGGGCCUCGUCCUCCGCCGCCUCCUGCGCGACGAGCUGGCGCGCGUCCGGGAGUAGAGGGCGCAGCAGCUCGUCCUCCGGUUGGGGUUGGGCGCGGAGUAGGUGUGGGAGCGGUGGUAGACGCUCCUGGUCCUCCGGUCCGUGGACGUCCUUACGCGCUCACUAGGCAGGAAGUUAUUGUGUUUGUGUUCCUCGAGGGUAUGAUAUCCGUUCGACCGCUCAAACUAGUCCCUCUUACUACUAAAGAUGCUGGAUCACAAAAGAUUCAAGGACAGUCUAUGUAGCAUGGGAAACGGUCAUGCGACACGAAGACGAUCCGACGAGGAUUCGUAGGUCCUACGUAAAAGCGGAGUCAAAAGAGUAGGAAAACUUCUACGAUGGGAUCUUUUAUAUUUUAGGACCUAUUUCCUUCUACCACUUCGUAGCCUACCUUCACUAACCUUCGUAGAUCCUUCACCAUUUUUUGGGUGUCUUUGACUCUACUACUCUUGUAUACGAUAACCCAACGAGAGCUACCGCAACAUACCACCACCCGCAAACCAUCUUCUACAGAACUUGUACCCACAUAGUCGGUUCGAGUACGCAAAAGACGCUUAUGCUCAGAAACCACUACGGUGUAGAGGUCUCUUUCUACGGUUAGAAGGUGAUCUAUGGUUCGUAGGAGCCCCAUCUCUACUCUUAUCCCCGUUUCAUGCUAACGAAGUUCUGUCAAGAUAUGACCUGCCUUGUUCCCGACCUCUACCUUAUAGCUGACUGGGUUGAAACCUUUUUGUCAAACUAGCACUACAAACCUACUCCGUUCGUGUGCCUCUUGUCCCCUACCUACUGUGACCAAUGGACGUUGCACUACUACGACUAAGAUGUAACCUAGGAAAACUACGUUUCAGUCAGCUACCCCUUUUCAUAGGACGUCCACUUUCGGACUCUACUUGAGAACUUCUCUUUCAAGUCGGCAUGUCCUAGAGCUGAUUCUCCCUUUUAGUUUGGUCCACUUCCGAACGGACUUUCACUUGCCUGUGGAAAUAGCGGUUGUCCUAACUCUUACCCUUUAGCCUGAUCGUUUCUGUUCUUACGCCGAUUCCAGCUCCUGGGUUUCUUUCGUUAGCUAAACUUGUUAUCGAGACGUCGGGUGCUCAGACUAUAAGAAUCAUAAAGAUUUCUUCUCAUACUCCUGGCCAAGUCCCUAACGUAAUAGCCGAACUUCCUAUAUUGACUGUAACAAAACUUCCGUCACUCUCGACGUCUUCGCCUUCGGUCUAGUCGCUUACGAGGACUCCUUCGACACUUUCGUCGUCCACUACGACGACGACUCGAACACUUUAGACGACGAAAUCUCCAAACCUUCUCACUUUUAUCACCGCUACGGCAACAUAAUCGACGCCUCUUUCGACGUCGAUGACAUCAGCUACGACGGUACAGGUGAUCGCAGAGUUCUUCGAGACUGGUCCAAUUACUCCUCGUACAACAACUUCUUCGACACUUUUAAUCACUCCUGGUCCUAGACCUUCUAAAACAAUAGUAACUGGUCCUCGUCGAGAACGAUGAAUCCCUUUUUAUAUCGUAAAACACGAACGUCAUAGACCCUCUCAUGCAACUUCGAAACCCAGGACAAGAAGUACUUUUUCCACAACUACAAACGGAGCGUAACGACGUUGCCCCUUAGUUUCUGGUCCUCCCUACACCGGUGCAAAGUGAUGAAGUACUUUAAGAAUCUAACUAAACACGGGACCGGCGUGUGGCCUUUAAACGACGCGAUAAACAACUGGCCCCACCAUAAGUCUUCUAGGAGAGACAGGGAUUCUAAUGAGUCUGUAUAUGACGAGACAGCCGUACGAACAAAUGAAAGCCAAGAGAGGUCAGAUGGUACCUUGCACAAACACGCGAAAGUGGACUGUGUGAGUUGUUACACCAACUUGAUCGCGACGUUGAGAAUCUUACGGGUGUUCUACGUCGAUCUUUUUUACGUCGGUAUAAGAAACGACGACGUAAACACAAGUUUCGACAAGACCUAAGUAAACUACGUGUCCUACCCUACGUUUUUGAAGACUUAUAUAAUGUUCAACGACGUAGACAUUCCAGCCCACCAUUGAGGCCUCGUAAUCCUAGGAGGUUGCGCUUAGUUCCCUUACUGGCUAGUGGACGACUUUAAGACUGAGUCAGUCUUUUCGUCCAGCGCAUAGUAAGUACACAACGUGAUGCCGUUAUAAAAUCUCGAGUAGAGGAAGUCGAACAACUAAGGUAGGCCGGUUCGUUCUCAUAGGCAUCAUAACGAGCCUUAUGAAGGUCACGUUCUCGACCAAUGUUUGGAAAACUGUAGCCGUUGCUCCGAUACCUACGAUAAAAAGCAGUCCAGGUCGCCCUGUCUUUCAAUCCUGGACGAGAGCAUUCUCGAGCGACCGGACACUACCUAUUUAAGAACCGGAGAUUACCAGUAUAAUAGGACGAUCUCAAUACGGUCUCAGAUGGACGACUAGCCAUAGAAGUACUGAACCGAGUCAUACGUAAACCUCAAGAAGUGUAAUAUUGAGAAUACGGUGUGUCGGCGUUUAACUACCAAGUACGAUGUAAUUGAUUGUUGGCAUAACCAUACCGACAAUAUGAUCUAUAUCGUUUGUCACAACAACCGAUACAACUAGGACUCCACUAAACAGGUCGUAACUUACACGAACAGUUAGAACAUACGGGGGGAGGUAGCUAGUCGUUGUUCGGCAGGAGUCGACAAUUAGUCGUUGGACGUCCUUCAAUGAGUCUCUCGUCCCUGUCCUUACGACUUUUUUCGUGAAGCCUUUCUUUACAACGUCGCUUGGUUUCACUUAGAGCCCUUGCUAUACCACUACCGUGUGGACAACACAGUAGACCUCAACAACCACUGUUCUCUUAUAGCGAUCCGCAUCCUCGACCCCCAGGACCAGAACGACGAGUUAACCUUGUUCGAAUAGCGGUUCGAGCUCUUCAUCAGUCUCGGUUAUUACCAUAUUUCUAAGAAAACGUCGAAGAACCGUGAGCCUACCAAUGUGUAGGAAACCGAUAACUACGAUAAGCUCGUGAACGGACAGCACAUGACGAACCGAACCGAUCUCUGCUACGAUAACGUGUAUAUGACUGCUUCGAGGUCCAUCCCUUCUUUAAUAGUCUUGAUUAAGCACUAUGCUCAUGGGUCAGUAGACCUCCACUAUUACGUUCUACCGAUUUACUUGACUGGGUUCACCGUUAACUCGAGUAACGCCAGAACUGAUUAAGACCAUUUCUUUGUUGGAAUCGUUGACUACGACGACGAGGUCGUAACUUCGCGUAACUCGCUCGACCGUAUCGUCGACGAUGAGGACAGAGAAUGGUAAGGUCCCUUGACUACGUUGACUAUGUACUUGUAGAGGAACCUAGACCAAACCGACGAUGACGACGGUACAACGUCUUCCUCCGACUGGAACGUGGAAACGGUAGUUGACGACGUCACGAUGGACAGGUGGUCGGGCGACGGGACCUUGGUAGUAGACAAGUUCAAGUUGUUGUCACCGGAAGACCGGCACAAGUCCCUAAAGACAGGCUGUUUUGUUACUAACGACGUCUAGUUCGACCGGUUGCUAGUCUAAGACAACACGGAAGCAGAUUCUUCUUCCGUGACCAUAAGAGUAGGUCAAAGAGAUUUGCUUUAGUUGGGAAACAAAGCAAAAGACCAUUAUCUCGUUCGUUAUCGGACUUUUCAGGACAUGGACGGCCUUUACACCUGUCAUACUGAACGAGACGGAGACGACGGUUAUGACCUCUACACCUCUGUAGCGUAUUUUGUGGUUAAGGGAACGGUGAAUUCUCCUUCGAACGCCUAUACCUCAAAUCAAGACGUAGUCGUCGUUUCGCGGGACGUUAUUACCUAGUUCGUAGGGUUAGAGGACACAAGGUUUGAGGACGAGGAUGAGCGUCUCCGGAGAGACACCGUCACCUAAGAGGAUGACGUCGUAAAGUAGGUCCUUCCUGUUUGAAGUUGUUGUAAAGGUGACUCUUGAAACUUCUAAGAGUUACGUGUGGACCUCACCAUUGUCCGUGUGGUGUAGAACCACAUUUACUAGUUGUUUGUCCUUGAAGCCUCGCGUACUGUGAGCUGAGUAACCAACAUGUUAUAAACUUUGUAGUUGUGGCGGUUACAGGACGAGGUUAUUGUUGAAACGGCGGUCAGAGAGACGAGGUGGGAGUACAAACGGGACUCGGAUCGGCGUCGUAAUCACGUGGUCGUUUACAUUGACGAGCGUACCCUUCGGCACUCUAUUUGUCCCUCAAAUCGCCCUAGUUUCACGGGGCGUCCCUAGCGGUUAAAUAUAUGUCGUCCAAGUUCGGUACGGCACAAACGGCACUACUACGGAGCGACAACUGAACGUACUGAAAAUAACCUCCACGUAGUUCCCACCGCCGACCCUUAGUAUCACCACUUAAUUCUUAUAAACUGUCGUUGGAACGUUUAGAGUAUCUCUGCGUGUGAACAGUGGUUUUAGAACAGUGAUACCACCUAAGUUGUAGAUAACCACCUUGACUCGACUAAGAGAGUAGAUCGUAUCUACUCCAAUUCGAGAAACUACGAAAGAGUGACGUAUGCCCCGGAAACGUGUGUAAACUAUUGACGUUUCGACGGUCCAAAUUGGUACGACCCUGAAAUAAACGGACGGAAAGAUGCCUACGUUUAGUGGCCCGCCAAGAUAACAUACUACAGGUCUGCGUAUUACAACUAUACGUCGAAGGACUAUUGAGGUCGGACGGUCCAAGUCCGGCCCCACAUGUUGGGUAAUAUGUAAAGUCAGGAAGUCUACUAUACAACGACACCUUGCCCCAGGACACCCUAUCUGCUUCAGGGUGAGGAUAGGUAGUCAAACUGGUCAAGUGUCUGAUAACACCGCCACCGAAAGUAGGUCGACCUUUACUCCACUAGGAUUUAAGUCUCCACACCCUAGACUCUUUCAAAUUCGAAGACUCCUCACAGGGUAGGGACCUGGUCUGUCAUUAGUUUAAGUUACCUUCACCACUACAAUAGAUACGGUAGGAGUCCGCAUUGGAACUCCUACAUUGCAGUAGGUAGGUUUGGGCCUCCCAGUCUGUAGGGGACAAGGGACGUAAGGCGUGCUAGCUACGGCAGUGAAUGCGUCUGUAACGUUGGCAGGUUUAUCUGGCACCGCAGGAGCUGGAACGGUGACUCGGGUUACUAAGGGAAGAGCCUCAACAACGGUACCUGCUAGGACUACUCUACAAGAGGAGACGAGCGUAUAAGCUUCAACCGUCCUUUGCCGGUUGGCUACUACUAAGUCUGGGCCUCCUACCUCCCCUGAGCCUCCUCCUACUACUGCUGCUGCUGCUGAGCCUGCACCUACAGGAGGACCCCUGGCUAAAUCCCGAGCCCCUGUGCCUAAGACUCCUACUAGGAUCAUUGUCGUCGCCACUGCUACCGCCACUGCUACUGCUGCUCCUCCUAUACCUGUCGCCCCUACUUUUGCUGCUACUACUACUCCUUCCGCUGAAACUACACCCUCCCCCCAACGACCUCUACUACCCGCCGCCACUCCCGCUACUCUCACUGUACUAGCUCAGGAAGUCGUCGCCACUCCUUCUUCCCACCGAGUACACUCUCGUCUACCACUAAGAGAAAAGAAAGAUGCGUACCAGCGUAGCGCCACCGCUCCCGCCGUGCACCCCUACGUCCUCCUCCGUUCCGUUCCGAUCCUCCUCGACUUGCUCUUUGCCGCAGAAACCCGGUGGCUGUCCCAUCCCACGUUUGUUCUUUACGUUUAGACAUGCGAGUUUUAAUACCAACAUUUAAUAACCGGAACGACCCUCCUUCAAAUGCAAUGCACACAACCUUCAUCGACAACAAUGGACACUCUCGCGUUGCGUUCAGACUCCGUAAUCCACAACAUACAUUUUCGUUUCGACCAUUAAAAAGUGACAAAGAGUAGCCAACUUUUAAAACCUUUAUAGUACACAACUACGACACGACACACUUCUCAACACAAGGAAAAAUGACA
rnacentral:rRNA from 1 species